rnacentral:rRNA from 1 species
AGACUCGGUGAAAUUGUAAUUCCGGUGAAGAUGCCGGAUACCUGCGACAGGACGGAAAGACCCCAUGGAGCUUUACUGUAGCUUGACAUUGGGUCUUGGUACUACAUGUACAGGAUAGGUGGGAGGCUUUGAAACCAGGACGCCAGUUUUGGCGGAGCCAUCCUUGGGAUACCACCCUUGUAGUACUGGGACUCUAACCAUAGGCCAUGAAUCUGGUCUUGGGACACUGUCAGGUGGGCAGUUUGACUGGGGCGGUCGCCUCCCAAAAGGUAACGGAGGCGCUCAAAGGUUCUCUCAGUACGGUCGGAAAUCGUACGUAGAGUGUAAAGGCAAAAGAGAGCGUGAUUGCAAGACAUACAGGUCGAGCAAGGAUGAAAAUCGGACUUAGUGAUCCGGUGGUUCUGCGUGGAAGGGCCAUCGCUCAACGGAUAAAAGCUACCCUGGGGAUAACAGGCUUAUCUCCCCCAAGAGUCCACAUCGACGGGGAGGUUUGGCACCUCGAUGUCGGCUCAUCACAUCCUGGGGCUGUAGUAGGUCCCAAGGGUUGGGCUGUUCGCCCAUUAAAGUGGUACGCGAGCUGGGUUCAGAACGUCGUG